UACGUAGGCAGCGAGCGUUGUUCGGAGUUACUGGGCGUAAAGGGUGUGUAGGCGGUUGUUUUAAGUUUGGUGUGAAAAUCUCCCGGCUUAACUGGGAGGGUGCGCCGAAAACUGCAAGGCUUGAGUGCUGGAGAGGAUAGCGGAAUUCCUGGUGUAGCGGUGAAAUGCGUAGAUAUCAGGAGGAAUACCGGUGGCGAAGGCGGCCAUCUGGACCGCAACUGACGCUGAGGCGCGAAAGCGUGGGGAGCAAACAGG
rnacentral:rRNA from 1 species